rnacentral:snRNA from 1 species
AAAGUGAAGAAAUUCAACC